UACGGAGGGUGCAAGCGUUGUCCGGAUUUAUUGGGUUUAAAGGGUGCGUAGGCGGCUAAUUAAGUCAGUGGUGAAAGCCUGUAGCUCAACUAUAGAAUUGCCAUUGAUACUGGUUAGCUUGAGUUCGGUUGAGGUAAGCGGAAUGGAUAGUGUAGCGGUGAAAUGCAUAGAUAUUAUCCAGAACACCGAUAGCGAAGGCAGUUUACUGGACCGAUACUGACGCUGAGGCACGAAAGCAUGGGGAGCGAACAGG
rnacentral:rRNA from 1 species